GCUUGAGAAGCUCAAUAGGUAGAGUAGAGAAUUGAAGCUUCUUUGGUUGUAGGUUCAAAUCCUAUCUCAGGCA